AUUGAACGCUGGCGGCAUGCCUUACACAUGCAAGUCGAACGGCAGCACGGGUGCUUGCACCUGGUGGCGAGUGGCGAACGGGUGAGUAAUACAUCGGAACGUACCUUAUCGUGGGGGAUAACGCAGCGAAAGCUGUGCUAAUACCGCAUACGAUCUGUGGAUGAAAGCGGGGGACCUUCGGGCCUCGCGCGAUUGGAGCGGCCGAUGUCAGAUUAGGUAGUUGGUGGGGUAAAGGCUCACCAAGCCAACGAUCUGUAGCUGGUCUGAGAGGACGACCAGCCACACUGGGACUGAGACACGGCCCAGACUCCUACGGGAGGCAGCAGUGGGGAAUUUUGGACAAUGGGCGCAAGCCUGAUCCAGCAAUGCCGCGUGCAGGAAGAAGGCCUUCGGGUUGUAAACUGCUUUUGUACGGAGCGAAAAGGCUCUCUCUAAUACAGGGGGCUCAUGACGGUACCGUAAGAAUAAGCACCGGCUAACUACGUGCCAGCCGCCGCAGUAA
rnacentral:rRNA from 1 species